GAAAAUAUAGCUUAAUUUGGUUAAAGUGUUGGCUUGUCACGCCAAAGAUUGUGGGUUCAAGUCCCAUUAUUUUCG
rnacentral:tRNA from 1 species